UCUAAUUCAGUUAUGGUUGCCAGAAAUC
rnacentral:piRNA from 1 species